UACGGGGGGGCAAGCGUUGUUCGGAAUUACUGGGCGUAAAGGGCUCGUAGGUGGCCAACUAAGUCAUACGUGAAAUCCCUCGGCUUAACCGGGGAACUGCGUCUGAUACUGGAUGGCUUGAGUUUGGGAGAGGGAUGCGGAAUUCCAGGUGUAGCGGUGAAAUGCGUAGAUAUCUGGAGGAACACCGGUGGCGAAGGCGGCAUCCUGGACCAAUACUGACGCUGAGGAGCGAAAGCCAGGGGAGCAAACGGG
rnacentral:rRNA from 1 species